rnacentral:rRNA from 1 species
UAGCGUAUAUUAAAGUUGUUGCAGUUAAAAAGCUCGUAGUUGGAUUUCUGGCAAGGCAGAGCUAACCUGGCAUUAUAUGUCGUGUGUUGGAAUCUGUCUGCCAUCCUUCCAGAAAAGCACUAAACCAUUCAUUUGGCCUUGGUGUCGAUCUGGGACUUUUACUUUGAAAAAAUUAGAGUGUUCAAAGCAGGCGUUACGCCAUGAAUACAUUAGCAUGGAAUAAUAAUCUAGGACUUCAGUUCUAUUUUGUUGGUUUCUAGGACCGAAGUAAUGAUUGAUAGGGAUAGUUGGGGGUGCUAGUAUUCAGCGGCCAGAGGUGAAAUUCUUGGAUUCGCUGAAGACUAACUUAUGCGAAAGCAUUCACCAAGGAUGUCUUCUUUAAUCAAGAACGAAAGUUGGGGGAUCGAAGACGAUCAGAUACCGUCGUAGUCUCAACCAUAAACUAUACCGACUAAGGAUGAGUGAGCGUCUAUUUCGACAUCAUUCGCACUUUAUGAGAAAUCAAAGUCUUUGGGUUCCGGGGGGAGUAUGGUCGCAAGGCUGAAACUU